ACAAAGAAUAUUUCUUUUCACUUUUAAUAGAGUUUAUCUUUUAGAGCAGUUUUGGGUUCCCUGCAAAACUGAGCAGAAAAUGCAGAAGAGUUCCUAUAUGACUCCUGACCACCCUCCUCCCUCAUAUCUGCAUCCCCCACCAGCAGAGUGGUACAUGUGUUAUAAUUCAUGAAACUAUAUUGACACAUCAUUAUCACCCAAAGUCCACAGGCUACAUUACGAUUCACUCUUGGUGUUGUACUUUUGGUGUUGUAUGGGUUUUGAGAAAUGUAUAAUGAUAUGUGUCCACCAUUAUAGUAUCAUACAGAGUAUUUUCACAGUCAUAAUGAUCCAUGAAUCUCUGCUUAUUCAUCCCCCUCUCCCUUAAACUCCUGGCAACCACUGAUCUUCUUACUGCCUCCAUAGUUUUUCCUUUCCCAGAAUGUUGUAAAGUUGGAAUUUUACAGUAUGCAGUCUUUUUAGAUUGGUUACUUUCACUUAGUAAUGUGCAUUUAAGUUUCUUUCAUAUCUUUCUAUGUCUUCAUAGCCCAUUUCUUUUUAGCCCUGAAUCCUAUUAAUAUUCCAUUGUCUAGAUGUACCACAGUUGACUUACUCAUUCACCUGGUGAAAGACAUCUUGCUUGCUUCCAAGUUUUGGAAUGAAGAAUAGAGCUGCUAUAAACAUCUGUGUGCAGAUUUUGGUGUGGACGUAAGCUUUAAAUUCAUUUGGGCAAAUGCCUAGGCGUUUGAAAGCUGGAUUGUAUGGUAAGAGUGUGUUCGGCUUUGUAGGAAUAAUUUUUUUCAGUUUAAGUAUGUCCCUAGUAUUGCAUGACAACCCUCCCUGCUAAAGAUGGAGUGGCUUCCUGCAGUGCAGUGCGUGCAGAGGUCACAACAUUUCUAGUCACGGUUGUGACCAAUAGGGUAAACUUUUACAUUUCUAUCUGCCCCUCCAGUUGGGGUAACUCACCCCUACCCACUGGCUGGAUACCUUGGCAGCCAAUGGGGCUAGAAGGAGCCAGAGACCCCAAUCGAGGACGGCUGGGCCAAGACAUAUUCUUGAUCCUCGUUGUGCCAGUCACCCUUAAAAUCCCUGCUGGACUUGGUGCUGUGGGCUUAGAGGUGCCCUAAAUUCCAGAACUGCCUCUGGGCUUCUUGCCUUCUCUCUCAUUCUCCUUCUGUACCAUGUUGAUUUCUGGUGCCCAGGCCUUGUUCCUGCUGCUCCUGACUUUGUUCCCCUGGACUGCUGGGUUCGGAUGAUACCAAAUAUUCCUCAAGGUGGGCUGAAGCCUUCAGGAUUGAGGCCCACGGUCUGGAAGGCAUGAGCCCUUCUCCGUGGAGCUGUUUGAGGUUAGAAGGAAAAGCAGCCUCUCCUGUGUCAGGGCGAUGGCAGUGCCGGGUGUUGCACAGGCUGGGUUCGGCAUGACCACUUCCGCUUCCCUGCCAAGAUCGCUGUCGCUCAGCCACUUCUUGAGGCUAGGCUCCAAAGCGGUGGCGUCAAAACUGGCUGCUCAGUGGAGGCCCCUAGGGAGCUGUGAACGCCCCCGUGGGCAGGCCUCACCAGGCUCAGUAAGUCAGGAGGCUCAAGGUCGCAGCAGGCAGGGGUAUUCUGAGUCUCUGAGGGCGGAACCCCUGGUCUCCGGGGAGCUGCCUCUGGGCCCCAGCUGGGGGCACCAUGGAAGGCAUUUCCGCCCCGGGCACUUUGCCCAGCCGGCUGUCCCCCAAGCCGCAGCCUUCUCACUUCGGGGAGUCGAGGCCCUAGGCUGACCUCAGGUGCUAGGGUGCGUUCCUGGCCGCCGUGGGGCCCAUUAUCUGACGCGGAGCAGCCGUGGGCGCCGUGCGUGCCGGUUCCCUGCGUGCCCGGCCCCAGAAUGGACCAGGCUGGAGUGCGACGGUGAUUUGAGGCAGUCACUGAUUAUUUCUAUGCCUCCGUGGACUCUUCUUUUGGAAAAUCUAAGUUCCCUAAAACUCUAACAGUUAAUCUGAUAAAAUGGGACAUAAAAUACAUAUUUUUCCUUCCAUGUGAUGUGAAGAAGUUGAGCUUCAAAAAAACGGUCACAAAAACAAAGAGAGUGCCUGGCGGCCUGGACUCCGGAUCCUGUGAAAUAAACCCGGCCGGAGCUGCUCUUGUCUGAGGACAGGAGUCCUUGAAUCACCUUAUUCCUGCGAAUAAAGGUGUCCCUCCCGCUGGUCAAGCUCUUGAACUGGGUGAAUAAACCCAAUUUUUGUAAAAUCAUAAUGUUAAUUAACUAAUGGUGGAAACAAAAAUUUAAUCAUAAGGUUUGUGAAUAGGCAUGGAUUCCAAGCAAAGAGACUGAGAUGCUUUAAAAUAGAUGUUUUUCACCAACCUGUCUACAAAAGAGGCUGUUUUGCCGGAGAUCCUGGCACUCAUUGUUGCCUGAGAUUUUUCUGGGACUGUGGAUAGAGCGGUCACAUGCAAGCUGUGACUCUCAUUGUUGUGUGCUUCCAGGGAAGACAAGCUACCUUUUGAAUUAAAAGGAACAAAUAAUUCUUGUCCUAAAUUGGAAACCAUAAAUCUGAGUAUCUUCAAGCAGGAGUGAAAACAUCAUGGCUAAAUCCUCAUAUCACUGAUAUCUGCGGGAGUUCCCAAUCUGGCUGAACCACUGGAGAGAAGACGAUUCCCUUGAGAAAUAGCCAGCACUGUCUGCCAGUUAGAUGGGGAAAGUUACAGGCACUUCUUGCUGCUGCCAUGUGAAGAAGGACGUGUUUCCUUCCUCUUUUACCAUGAUUGAAAGUUUCCUGAGGCCUCCCUACCCAUGCUGAACUGUGAGUCAAUUAAAACUCUUUCCUGUCUAAAUUACCCAGUUUUGAGUAUGUCUUUAUUAGCAGCAUGAGAAUGAACUGAUACACAUGUAUAUUCCCCAAUUUGCUUAUCCAUUCAUCCAUUGAUGGACACUUGAGUAGGUUACACAUUUGGACUAUUGUGAAUAAUGUUGUGAGUAUUGGGGUACAGAUAUCUCUUUGAGAUCCUGCUUUCUGUUCUUUCAUGUAUAGAGGGUUGCUAGGUUAUAUGGUAAUCCUUUUUUUAAAUUUCGAAGAACCACCAUAGUGUUUUCUACAGUGACUAUAUUGUUUUAUAAUCCUAGCAGCAGUGCACAAGAGUUCCAAUUACUCUAUAUUCUCACCAAAACUUGUUAUUUUCUGGGUUGUUUUUGUUUGUUUGUUUUUUGUUUUGGAUCAUAGCCAUUUUAAUGGGUGUGAGGCUUUAUCUAAUCGUAGUUUUGAUUUGCAUUUUCCCAAUGAUUAGUGAUAUUGAGAAUCUUUUCACGUGCUUAUUGGCCAUUUGUAUAUCUUUGGAGAAAUGUCUUUUUAAGUCCUUUUCCCAUUUUUCAAUCAGAUUGCUUUUGGUUGAGUUAUAAAAAUUCUUUAUACUAAAUAUUAAUCCCUUAUUAGAUAUAUGAUUUCCAAAUAUUCUCUCCCAUUCUGUGGGGUUGCUUUUUUACUCUGUUGAUAGUGUCUUUUGAGUCACAAAAUUUUAAACUUUCAGGAACUCCAUUUUGUCUGUUUUUCUCUUUUGUUGUCUGUAGCUUUGGUAUUAUGUACAAGAAAUCAUUGCCAAAUCCCAGUGCCAAAUAUAAUGUCCUUUUCUAUUUUAGAAUCUAUUUGCAAUUCUUUCUUAUUCUACCAAUCUAAUAUCCUGUUGGCUUUUAGUUAAUUAUGGCCUAUUGCUUAAUUUUCCCCUCAUGACAUUUUACUCCUAUUUCAUAAAGAAGGUGAUUUCUUGAGCAUUUUUUAAUUGUGUUAAAAUAAACAUAACAAAGCUUACCACUUUACUCAAUACUAAGUAAAAUAAGCCAGUCACAAAAGAACAAAUAUGAUUCUACUUGUAUGAGGUACCUAUGAAAUGAGAGAGUUCCCUGAUUCCCCUCGCAGGAUGUGUGACAGGGUGUGGCUUGCCUGCUAGGUCAUCCCACAGCUCAAACCCCUACCAGGAGCAUCCAGACAGGCAGGUGCAGAGGCCCAGGUGAGGGCUUUUGGGCUUCGGCCCCAUGGCAGCAUCUAGCGAUGGGUGUCUGUGACUCCUGAAGCCCAAAUGGGCGUGUGUUACCAAGCUCUUUCAGAUUUGCCUUCUCUACCCAGCACUUCCCUGCCCCACUCCCGUAUUACCUAGAGUAGUGAAAUUCAAGGAGACAGAAUGGCUGCCAAGGGUUGGGGAUGAGGGAAUAGGGAGUUAUUGUUUCAUGAGUAUAGAGUUUCAGUUGAGAAAGAUGAGAAAAGUUCUAGAGAUGGAUGGUGUUGAUGGUUGCACAACAAUGUAAAUGUAUCUGAUCUUGAGUCUUUUAAAAAAUACCAACCACUUGGCGGGCGCCUGUAAUCCCAGCCUCUCGGGAGGCUGAGGGAGGAGAAUGGCGUGAACCCGGGAGGUGGAGCUUGCAGUGAACCGAGAUCAGGCCACUGCACUCCAGCCUGGGUGACAGAGCGAGACUCCAUCUCA